rnacentral:rRNA from 1 species
UACAGAGGUCUCAAGCGUUGUUCGGAUUCAUUGGGCGUAAAGGGUGUGUAGGUGGCGCGCUAAGUCGGGGUGUGAAAUUUCGGAGCUUAACUCCGAAACUGCAUUCGAUACUGGCGUGCUUGAGGACUGGAGAGGAGACUGGAAUUUACGGUGUAGCAGUGAAAUGCGUAGAUAUCGUAAGGAAGACCAGUGGCGAAGGCGGGUCUCUGGACAGUUCCUGACACUGAGACACGAAGGCCCAGGGGAGCAAACGGG